rnacentral:misc_RNA from 1 species
CGGGGGGAUAGUGUAGCACAGCCACAAAAGCGUCUUGUUGGACAAUUGACCGAAUUUUGGCAUAUGAGUGAUUUUAGCAUAAUGUUUUCAAAGUUACGGAAUUUUUUGGUGACAAAAUGAAGAUGAGGGAAGGAACUAAAACACCCUCCAAGUUGAGGGACAACUGGUAAAAAUUAGUCGAUGGCAUUGCUCCUAGCAACCACGAGGUGUAUCCCAGCU